AUUGAACGCUGGCGGCAGGCUUAACACAUGCAAGUCGAGCGGAUGAAGGGAGCUUGCUCCUGGAUUCAGCGGCGGACGGGUGAGUAAUGCCUAGGAAUCUGCCGGGUAGUGGGGGAUAACGUCCGGAAACGGGCGCUAAUACCGCAUACGUCCUGCGGGUGAAAGUGGGGGAUCUUCGGACCUCACGCUAUCAGAUGAGCCUAGGUCGGAUUAGCUAGUUGGUGGGGUAAAGGCCUACCAAGGCGACGAUCCGUAACUGGUCUGAGAGGAUGAUCAGUCACACUGGAACUGAGACACGGUCCAGACUCCUACGGGAGGCAGCAGUGGGGAAUAUUGGACAAUGGGCGAAAGCCUGAUCCAGCCAUGCCGCGUGUGUGAAGAAGGUCUUCGGAUUGUAAAGCACUUUAAGUUGGGAGGAAGGGCAGUAGGUUAAUACCUUGCUGUUUUGACGUUACCGACAGAAUAAGCACCGGCUAACUUCGUG
rnacentral:rRNA from 1 species